rnacentral:rRNA from 14 species
UGAUGAAGGCCUUAGGGUUGUAAAGCUCUUUUACCAGGGAUGAUAAUGACAGUACCUGGAGAAUAAGCUCCGGCUAACUCCGUGCCAGCAGCCGCGGUAAUACGGAGGGAGCUAGCGUUGUUCGGAAAUACUGGGCGUAAAGCGCACGUAGGCGGUGUCGCAAGUCAGGGGUGAAAUCCCGGGGCUCAACCCCGGAACUGCCCUUGAAACUGCAACACUAGAAUACUGGAGAGGCAAGUGGAAUUCCGAGUGUAGAGGU